rnacentral:misc_RNA from 1 species
UGAGAUGGGACAAGAUAUUUGAUGGGGGAAUAAUGAGAAGAUUAGUCCUAGGAGAUAUUUAAGUGGAUGCAAAUUCAAGUUGGUAUAUGGCAAUCGUCAAUGCUUUUUUAUAGUUCACUUUUAUCUUUCAUGUAAUGGAUUUGAAAGGGUGAUCAUAGAUCUCUGAGAAGAAAAAAAAUGAAAUGCUUGUGCUGUUUUUCCUCAUUUUUGUGGCAAACAAUGUUAUUAAGGCGAAAGGUG